UACAGAGGUGGCAAGCGUUGUUCGGAAUUACUGGGCGUAAAGGGCGCGUAGGCGGUCCGAUAAGUCCCGUGUGAAAUCCCUCGGCUCAACUGAGGAAUGGCACGGGAAACUGCCGGGCUUGAGUUCGGGAGAGGGAAGCGGGAAUUCCGGGUGUAGCGGUGAAAUGCGUAGAUAUCCGGAGGAACACCGGUGGCGAAGGCGGCUUCCUGGACCGACACUGACGCUGAGGCGCGAAAGCUAGGGGAGCAAACGGG
rnacentral:rRNA from 1 species